rnacentral:piRNA from 1 species
UGUUAACACAGUCCUGGCUUACAUAGC